rnacentral:rRNA from 1 species
AUGGAUCACUUCGAUUCCUUCGGGUCGACGGGCAUGGACGCCGUCUGGAUGGGGUCUUGUGGCUGGCCGGCGGCCGCGGCGACGACGGGCGGGGAGCAAGAGGCGGUGGACCUCCGGAGGGGGCCGUGGACGAUGGAGGAGGACGCGCUCCUGGCCGGCCACAUCGCCGCGCACGGCGAGGGCCGGUGGAACGAGCUUGCCUGCGCCGCGGGGCUGAGGCGCACGGGGAAGAGCUGCCGGCUCCGGUGGCUCAACUACCUCCGCCCCGACGUCCGCCGCGGCGAUUUCACCCCGCAGGAGCAGCUGCUCAUCCUGGAGCUCCACUUCCGGUGGGGCAGCCGCUGGUCCAGGAUCGCGCGGGAGAUGCCGGGCCGGACGGACAAUGAGAUCAAGAAUUACUGGCGGACCAGGGUGCAGAAGCACGCCAAGCAGCUCAAGUGCGACGUCGACAGCCGGCAGUUCCGGGACGUCAUGCGCCACCUCUGGAUGCCGCGCCUCGUCGAGAGGAUCCAGGCCGCCACCGCCAUGCCGGCGCCGAGCCUGGAGCACGCGGCGUCGCCCGUGUACCCUCUUAGUGUCGCGCCGGCUUGCCGCGGCGGCGUCGGCAUGUGCCAUUCUCCUGAAACUUCGACGGUGACCACGUCGAGCACGGCUGGUUCAUCGGUGUCUCUUGAGGUGCAUUUCCCGUCGAACCAGCUUGUCUUGACGGCCGGCAGUGGGACGAACUGGUCAGGCUCAGGCAGCGAGCAGUGCGGCAGCGGCAGCGCGAGGAGCGAAGACAUGUUCGACGGGAGCUGGUCGGAGCUCCUCGCUCGUGCGUGCGAUGACGGCGCGGACUCUGUGGUGUUCCCGGACUUCGAAUUAGGAGAAUCCAGAGACGACAAGUGGAGCCUGGAAGACAUAUGGUUACAACACCAGUACUGA